UUUCAAUAUUUAAAAAAAAAAAUUCCGUUUAAAAUCAUCGGAUAUCGUUACGUAAUCGACCGGAAAUAAACUGGUGACAAUGCAGCUUUAACAAGGGCCAGACGACUGCUGUCACCAAGAACAACAUCACAGUUAUGUCAUUCUCAGGAGUCAAGAUGUUGUCCUCAAUCAAGUAGCCUAUCUACAAGAUGUGUAAAACCUUCAUUAGAUAAUAGUAAUAAUAUCCACUUUUUAUAAUAAACACUUUUAUAAUAACCACUUUUAUGUUUAUUCUUUACUUCUUUUCAAGUAAAAUAAUGAAAAUAAUUAUAGUUUUUUUUCAGUACCUUGAGAGUAUUUUACACAGUGGUAAAUUCCAGAGAGAUCAUGGCACACACCAAGAUGAAAUCCAGUUAUUGGAUCAUCCUGUUUUGAGAACAUUUCUAGAAGAAGAGCAUGCUACCUGGACACUCAUGCUACAGGAUGUUGAGGAGAAAUACCUGAAGGCAGAACAGUCCAACCUCCCUUCUCUAUUAUCCAAGAAACGUUUGAAAACACAACCACCAAGCUUGCUGCUGAUAUUCAGUUCGGAAAUUUUCACUCGUGCAAGCUGUGGGGACUGCAUUUACGUCACCUUUUCCGAGGACGUCUAGGAACUGGUGACUAUGGCCAUUUGACAGUGGAACAUAGUGCUAUGUUGUUCCGACAGCACCGUUCUUUCGCCAAAUAUUCGAACCAGGGAUUCGAGGCUUCCCACAACAUCCACAGGGCCUUGUACUCAAGAGCCUCCAGCCAUGACCAGGCUGGUGUUAAUCAGUCAAUUUCAGUUGAAUAAAUAAUGACCCACUGGUUGUCAGAAAUGAAGCUGUUCUUGCGAUAUGAGUUUGUUAAAGCCAGCGAGUGCAUCUCCCAAGAUGUCCGAGGCCAAAAGCCCGAGAGUAACGGAGAUCAAUAAUGAGGUAGUGGUGCAAUUACUCCUGUGUUUAAAAGGUAAGAAGGCAUUCCACUUCCGUGGAUGCGGGUGAAAAAAGAAGGACGCCAACUGGUCAGCAGAAGAAAAGUCCUGGAUCCUGGUUAUGACAAAGCUACUGAACAAUAUCUAUGGAGAUGACUACCUAACGUACUCGUACACGCAGAAAGGAACAAUAAUUGAUUUUGAGUAUGACCCAAGACAGAAGUUCGCCUA